GACAGAGGGUGCAAACGUUGCUCGGAAUUACUGGGCGUAAAGCGCGUGUAGGCGGUUUCGCACGUCCGGUGUGAAAGCCCAGGGCUCAACCCUGGAAGUGCACUGGAUACGACGGAGCUGGAGUACUGAAGAGGAGAGCGGAAUUCCCGGUGUAGAGGUGAAAUUCGUAGAUAUCGGGAGGAACACCAGUGGCGAAGGCGGCUCUCUGGGCAG
rnacentral:rRNA from 1 species